AGAGUUCGAUCCUGGCUCAGGAUGAACGCUGGCGGCGCGCCUAACACAUGCAAGUCGAACGGCACCCCUCUUCGGAGGGAAGCGAGUGGCGAACGGCUGAGUAACACGUGGAGAACCCGCCCCCUCCUCCGGGAUAGCCUCGGGAAACCGUGGGUAAUACCGGAUGACCCCGCAGGGCCGCAUGGCCCCGCGGGCAAAGCCCAGACGGGAGGGGAUGGCUCCGCGGCCCAUCAGGUAGACGGCGGGGUGACGGCCCACCGUGCCGACGACGGGUAGCCGGGUUGAGAGACCGACCGGCCAGAUUGGGACUGAGACACGGCCCAGACUCCUACGGGAGGCAGCAGUGGGGAAUCUUGCGCAAUGGGGGGAACCCUGACGCAGCGACGCCGCGUGCGGGACGAAGGCCCUCGGGUCGUAAACCGCUUUCAGCAGGGAUGAGACAAGACGGUACCUGCAGAAGAAGCCCCGGCUAACUACGUGCCAGCAGCCGCGGUAAUACGUAGGGGGCGAGCGUUAUCCGGAUUCAUUGGGCGUAAAGCGCGCGUAGGCGGCCCGGCAGGCAGGGGGUCAAAUGGCGGGGCUCAACCCCGUCCCGCCCCCUGAACCGCCGGGCUCGGGUCCGGUAGGGGAGGGUGGAACACCCGGUGUAGCGGUGGAAUGCGCAGAUAUCGGGUGGAACACCGGUGGCGAAGGCGGCCCUCUGGGCCGAGACCGACGCUGAGGCGCGAAAGCUGGGGGAGCGAACAGGAUUAGAUACCCUGGUAGUCCCAGCCGUAAACGAUGGACGCUAGGUGUGGGGGGACGAUCCCUCCGUGCCGCAGCCAACGCAUUAAGCGUCCCGCCUGGGGAGUACGGCCGCAAGGCUAAAACUCAAAGGAAUUGACGGGGGCCC
rnacentral:rRNA from 1 species